rnacentral:misc_RNA from 1 species
GUCAGCGAAAUCUUGGACAACACGAGCCACUAUCAAUAUAUACUCUCUAAAACCCUGUACCCAGAUCUAAACCCUUGGAUCUUUGGGCGAUAUCUAAAAUCUUUUAUUAUUAGAAGGUUUGAAGCCUCAGAGAUGGGAAUUAUUAGAAGCGGUUUCUCCUUCAUUGCAGGGACGGUGUUUGGCAUCUACCUUGCUCAAAAUUACGACGUUCCAAACAUUAGAAAGCUGACGAACACCGGCCUCUUAAUAGCCAAGCACAUCGAGGAAACUUACAGGAAGCCCAAGAAGCGAGACGAGGAUGAUUGAUUUGAUUUUGGCUUUAGAUUCCAGGUUCUUACAUUACUGUUUUGAGGGAUUUUGGGGGUUCUUGUAGGCUCAAGUUUCUAACCUUUGUUGGGCACUUAUUGGCUUUCAUUUUGAUCUCUGUAUUUGUGCCUGUGAAAUUCAAUAUGGUUCAAGAAAGCAG